GGUAGCUGUAGGUGAACUGCGGAAGGAUCAUUA
rnacentral:rRNA from 1 species